UGGUGAAAAGCCCGCUCGCCGGAAGACCAAGGGUUCCUGUCCAACGUUAAUCGGGGCAGGGUGAGUCGACCCCUAAGGCGAGGCCGAAAGGCGUAGUCGAUGGGAAACAGGUUAAUAUUCCUGUACUUGGUGUUACUGCGAAGGGGGGACGGAGAAGGCUAUGUUGGCCGGGCGACGGUUGUCCCGGUUUAAGCGUGUAGGCUGGUUUUCCAGGCAAAUCCGGAAAAUCAAGGCUGAGGCGUGAUGACGAGGCACUACGGUGCUGAAGCAACAAAUGCCCUGCUUCCAGGAAAAGCCUCUAAGCAUCAGGUAACAUCAAAUCGUACCCCAAACCGACACAGGUGGUCAGGUAGAGAAUACCAAGGCGCUUGAGAGAACUCGGGUGAAGGAACUAGGCAAAAUGGUGCCGUAACUUCGGGAGAAGGCACGCUGAUAUGUAGGUGAAGCGACUUGCUCGUGGAGCUGAAAUCAGUCGAAGAUACCAGCUGGCUGCAACUGUUUAUUAAAAACACAGCACUGUGCAAACACGAAAGUGGACGUAUACGGUGUGACGCCUCCCCGGUGCCGGAAGGUUAAUUGAUGGGGUUAGCGCAAGCGAAGCUCUUGAUCGAAGCCCCGGUAAACGGCGGCCGUAACGAUAACGGUCCUAAGGUAGCGAAAUUCCUUGUCGGGUAAGUUCCGACCUGCACGAAUGGCGUAAUGAUGGCCAGGCUGUCUCCACCCGAGACUCAGUGAAAUUGAACUCGCUGUGAAGAUGCAGUGUACCCGCGGCAAGACGGAAAGACCCCGUGAACCUUUACUAUAGCUUGACACUGAACAUUGAGCCUUGAUGUGUAGGAUAGGGGGGAGGCUUAGAAGUGUGGACGCCAGUCUGCAUGGAGCCGACCUUGAAAUACCACCCUUUAAUGUUUGAUGUUCUAACGUUGACCCGUAAUCCGGGUUGCGGACAGUGUCUGGUGGGUAGUUUGACUGGGGCGGUCUCCUCCUAAAGAGUAACGGAGGAGCACGAAGGUUGGCUAAUCCUGGUCGGACAUCAGGAGGUUAGUGCAAUGGCAUAAGCCAGCUUGACUGCGAGCGUGACGGCGCGAGCAGGUGCGAAAGCAGGUCAUAGUGAUCCGGUGGUUCUGAAUGGAAGGGCCAUCGCUCAACGGAUAAAAGGUACUCCGGGGAUAACAGGCUGAUACCGCCCAAGAGUUCAUAUCGACGGCGGUGUUUGGCACCUCGAUGUCGGCUCAUCACAUCCUGGGGCUGAAGUAGGUCCCAAGGGUAUGGCUGUUCGCCAUUUAAAGUGGUACGCGAGCUGGGUUUAGAACGUCGUGAGACAGUUCGGUCCCUAUCUGCCGUGGGCGCUGGAGAACUGAGGGGGGCUGCUCCUAGUACGAGAGGACCGGAGUGGACGCAUCACUGGUGUUCGGGUUGUCAUGCCAAUGGCACUGCCCGGUAGCUAAAUGCGGAAGAGAUAAGUGCUGAAAGCAUCUAAGCACGAAACUUGCCCCGAGAUGAGUUCUCCCUGACCCUUUAAGGGUCCUGAAGGAACGUUGAAGACGACGACGUUGAUAGGCCGGGUGUGUAAGCGCAGCGAUGCGUUGAGCUAACCGGUACUAAUGAACCGUGAGGCUUAACC
rnacentral:rRNA from 1 species